AUGCUGGUGAUGGAGGGGAGGCAGGUGGCCUGGAGUUUCUCUGCCUCUGCCCAGGAUCCAGCUUCUCCCCUGGUCCAUGUGGGCAGAGAUGGCCUGAGGGCCAUUUGUCACUAUGGAGGAAGUGUCGCUAUCCCCUCCCACCCUGAUCCCUGCCCGGACCAUGUGACCCAAUAUGUCCUCUCUCACCAGAGUGCCUGCCCCUGUUCUAGAAGCUCUACCCUCCGGCUGAAGCCACUUAUACCCUUGACCCCUAGAAGAACCAGCAGAGACAGGGGUCUACUCCCUCCCAAUGUCAGGCUUUGGCUGUCCUGCCUGGCUAGCUGGGCAAACCCAGGCAGUGUUUCCAGAGGAACCCUGAGACACAGGGGGCUGUUCUGUAGGGAAGCUGGAGUGACCCAAGGUGUGUGCUCCAGGCCAGGGGACAUCCUGAGCCAAGGCCAGCAACAGGACAGCGCGGGAUCUGGUAGGCCACACGCACUCCAGUGGCCAUUCACUCAGAUCCUGGGGGCGCUGACUCUGGAUUUGGGCAUGGGAGGGCAGAGGGCAGAGGCUUCAGGGAGUCCCGGUGAAGUAAUGAGGCACCCUGGAAGGUUUCAGGCAGUCCAGAGAUUAGAUCUUUCCUGCACCUCCGUGGACUGGCCAGGCACAUACAAGGGAACAAGACUGACAGCAGCACUGUCCCCCUGGGGGGUCACAGUCCAGCCAUGUCAUUUCAGUUACUCUGAUUUCUGUGAUGUAGGAAGCCCAGCAUGUCCCUCAGUGCCAGGCCCUGUUCGUAAGUCUUUCCGUAAUGGCAAAAUAGACAACAUCAAAUUGGCCAUCUUGACCAUUUUUCAGUGUACAGCUCAGAGUACAUUAAGUUUUGAGCAACGGCCCCCACCAUCCGUCUCCAGAACUCUUCGUCUUGGAAAACCGAGACUCUGGCCCCGUGAAAUACCAUCUCCUCACACCACCGCCCCCACCCCAUCCCUGGCACCCACUGUCUACUUCCUGUCUGUGAAUCUGACUUCUCGAGUGGACCUCCUGUAA
rnacentral:lncRNA from 1 species